rnacentral:lncRNA from 1 species
CAUGAGAGCUUCGCAUUGAUUUUUCCCCUCUGCUGUUGCCUGGCAUUUGCACUCCAAGUUGUCAGAGGAGAWCUCCCAGCCAAGCGGCCACCCGGCUCCUGAAACACGGCUUCCACCUUGGUUGAGCGCUCAAGGACUGGAGAGCAGCAAGCAAUGAAGACGUGGAGGGAGUUUUUGCAAGGCUGAGGGACACCCACACAGUGAGGCCUUGCAUCCUACAAGUUCUCCUGGAAACUGCUUGGAGCAAUUUGCAGAGUGAGACCCUGACGAUCUCCACAAGUCUUGUACCAGUGCAAUUCCUAGUCAUCUCAGCUCCCUUUCUGCAGUACUAGCACGCUGUAGCUGCACUCCUCCAAGAGAAAAUACAGUGCCAGCACUGCUGCAGAUUGCUUAUCRUCUCCUGGGACUGCCUGUGUCCUUGGCUGGAGGCAAAAAACGCCACCGCGCUCAGCUGCAUAGGAAGGGAGAGCCAGCCAGAGAUGAGACUGCUGUGCUGCUCCGUGAGCUCCCUGGGUUGGUCAAGAAGGCAGCACAAGAGCAGCAGUCUCAGUGACCCAGGAGGAGACAAAUCCAGGCCUCUGCAGGGUUACGCUUGGAUGCUGAUCGGAAGAGGCCAGCAAAGAUCUCCCAGUGAUGUUCACCUCCUCCCGACCACCUUGCAGACUGUCAGGUGCCACUUUCGCACUGCUGUCGGCUGCGGUGACAUUGCCCGUGAAAUAUGGAGCCACAUUUUAGCAGUUGUCUUUCCUCCCAGGAGCAUGUGUAUCAGCUUCUAAAAACUCAGCGUUCUCCAUAGCGUUAUCUUGAGCCCUGGACUGCUCUGAUCUGCAGGGACACYGGUUGUGCCUCUCAUUAAAAAGCAGAACUGGGAAGAAAAGUGUAUGAACUGUGUGCCAAAUUAACAGCAAACCAGAAGGAGAAACAACAGCCUACAAAACCACUCUCUUAGAAGAUCCUAAAUCCAGAAAUGCCCGGCUGAGUGCUGGCUGCGGAGCCGAGCUUGCUCGGGUAACGUAUUUCAGUGCACACGAAAAUAACUGUAUUAGAAUGUCUCUCCCCGAGUAACACGAAAUACAGCGUUAUUG